rnacentral:RNase_P_RNA from 1 species
GACGCCGCCCAGGCGAUCGCUGGUCCGGCCCUCCGCGAGGAGGGACCGGGCGGGAGGAAAGUCCGAGCUCCGAAGAGCACGAUGCCGGGUAACGCCCGGUGACGGAAACGUCGAGGAAAGUGCAACAGAGAGAGACCGCCCGCGCCCGAGGCUCCGGCCUCCGCGCGGGCAAGGGUGAAACGGCGGGGUAAGAGCCCACCGCGCCCGCGGCAACGCGGGUGGCAUGGCAUACCCCAUCGGGAGCAAGGCCGCAUAGGCGGGCGCGCCGCGCGUUGCCUCACCCGCGAGGGUGGGGCCGCGCGCGGAUCGUAGGACGGCUCGUCCGAAGUCCGCGGGUUGGCUGCUCGAGGUCGUCGGUGACGGCGGCCCUAGAGGAAUGAUCGCCCCUCCGCGAGGAGCAAUCGUCGCGGGGUACAGAACUCGGCUUACGGACGACGUCGACC